UCCGAACAUCCCGGGACUUCCUAGCAUCCAAGAACUACCAAACAUCCUGGGGACUCCAAACAUUCCAGGAUUCCCUAACAUACCGGGUAUCCCUAAUCUCCCUAGCCUCCCAGACCUUCCAGACUUCCCUCGUCUCCCAGACUUACCGGGACUCCCUCGCCUCCCAGACCUCCCUGACCUCCCGACCCUUCCUCGCCUCCCUCCCCUUCCGGGCCUCCCGGGCCUCCCAGGCCUCCCUAGCUUACUGAGUCUGCCUCCUUUACCACCAUUCCAAUCAGUAGUCUUUUCGCAAUCAUUAGAAAUGGAGAACUGCUU
rnacentral:lncRNA from 1 species